rnacentral:lncRNA from 1 species
AAAGAAAAGGAAUUUUUAUGUUCUGAUGGGAUCCCCACCCUGGGCGGGUGGGUUGGGGUGGGGAUGGAGGGAAAAUCAGAUUUUUGGGGUUUGGUGGGGGUGGAAUCGGGAAUUCUGUGGGAAGGAGAUGAGCUGGGGUUGCAGAUCCAGGAAAAGAUUUUGGAAAUCCAGCUUGGAAAAAUGGGAAUAAAAAAAGCAGGAAAGGAGAGAAAGGAUGGGAACGAGGGAAAGCAGAGAAAUCACCCCAAAAAUCCCUUCUGGAGAAACACGAAAUUCCCAAAAAUUCAGGAUUCCAGAGGGUUCCAUGCUCUGCCACAGCGACAGAACCCAAAUUCCCAUUCCCAAUUCCCAAUUCCAUUCCCAAUUCCCAAUUGCAAUUCCUCCCAACUGCAAUUCCAAUUCCAAUUCCCAUUCGGAAAUGGAAUUUCCAAAUCCAUUUCCAAUUCCAAUUCUCAAUUCCAUUUCCAAUUCCAAUUCCCAAUUUCAAUUCCCAAUCCUCCCUAUUGGAAUUCCAAUUUCCAUUUCCAAUUCCAAAUCCAUUUCCAACUCCAUUUCCAAUUCCAACUCCUCCCUAUUAGAAUUCCAUUUCCAAUUCCAUUUCCAAAUUCCAAUUUCAAUUCAAAUUCCAAUUCCAAUUUCAAUUCCUCCAAUUCCUCCCAACUCCUGGAAUUCCAAUUCCUCCCUAUUGGAAUUCCAAUUCCAACUCCAGUUUCAUCUCUAAUUCCAUUUCCAUUUCCAAUUCCCAUUCCCAAUUUCAUUCCCAUUCCCAUUCCCAAUUCCUCCCUGUUGGAAUUCCAUUCCCAACUCCAACUCCAACUCCAUUUCCAUUUCCAAUUCUAAUUCCAAUUCCUCACAAUUCCUCCCUAUUGCAAUUCCAUUUUGAACUCCAAUUCCAAUUCCAAUUCCAAUUCUUCCCUAUUGGAAUUCCAUUCCCAAUUCUAUUUCCAAUCCCAAUUCCAAUUCCUCCCUACUGGAAUUCCAUUUCCAAUUUCACUUCCUCCAAUUCCUCCCAAUUCCUGGAAUUCCAAUUCCUUCCUAUUGGAGAUUCCAUUCCCAAUUCCAUUUCCAAUUCCAAUUCUCAAUUCCCAAUUCCAUUGCCAA